UACAGAGGUCCCGAGCGUUGUUCGGAUUCACUGGGCGUAAAGGGUGCGUAGGUGGCAUGGAAAGUUUGAUGUGAAAGCUCAGGGCUUAACCCUGAAAAUGGCAUUGAAUACUGCCGUGCUGGAGGUUUGGAGGGGGGACUGGAAUUCUUGGUGUAGCAGUGAAAUGCGUAGAUAUCAAGAGGAACACCAGUGGCGAAGGCGAGUCCCUGGACAACACCUGACACUGAGGCACGAAAGCUAGGGGAGCAAACAGG
rnacentral:rRNA from 1 species